rnacentral:rRNA from 1 species
CCUGGUUGAUCCUGCCAGUAGUCAUAUGCUUGUCUCAAAGAUUAAGCCAUGCAUGUGUAAGUACAGGCCGACUUAAGGCGAAACCGCGGACGGCUCAUUAAAUCAGAUAUAACUCAUUGGAUCUCUGCUGAACCGCAUUACUUGGAUAACUGUGGUAAUUCUAGAGCUAAUACAUGCCUUUGUAGUCUCCGACCGCGAGGGAGGAGCGCUUUUAUUAGACCAAAACCCUCGGCAGCCGGUUCCCGCAAGGGGCCGGCCGCACACAUCUUGGUGAAUCAGAAUAACUUUUGCCGAGCGCACGACCCCUCCCGUAACCCGGGUUGGGUCGGCGCCGCGUCCUGCAGGCGUCUGCCUUAUCAGCUCUCGAUUGUAGGUUAAACGCCUACAAUGGCUAUCACGGGUAACGGGGAAUCAGGGUUCGAUUCCGGAGAGGGAGCCUGAGAAACGGCUACCACAUCUAAGGAAGGCAGCAGGCGCGCAAAUUACCCACUCCCGGCACGGGGAGGUAGUGACGAAAAAUACUGUUGCGAGCCCCGAACGGGGCCUCGCAAUUGGAAUGAGUACACUUUAAAUCCUUGUACGAGGAUCGAGUGGAGGGCAAGUCUGGUGCCAGCCGCCGCGGUAAUUCCAGCUCCACUAGCGUAUAUUAAAGUUGUUGCGGUUGAAACGCUCGUAGUUUGACUUCUGCUCCGGACCGGCGGUCCGCCUUAGCGGCGGCUACUGCCGGGUUCCGAGCUGUGUCCCCGCCGGCGCACAUGGGGUUUUUAUGCCCUUAACCGGGUGUCCCCUUGUGGCCGGCACGUUUACUUUGAAAAAAUUAGAGUGCUCAGAGCAGGCUGGUUUUUGCUUACAGCCCGAAUGGUCGUGCAUGGAAUGAUGGAACAGGACCUCGGUUCUAUUUUGUCGGUUUUUCGGAACCCGAGGUAAUGAUUAAUAGAAGCAGACGGGGGCAUUCGUACUGCGACGCUAGAGGUGAAAUUCUUAGACCGUCGCAUGACGACCUACUGCGAAAGCAUCUGCCAAGGAUGUUUUCAUUGAUCAAGAACGAAAGUUAGAGGUUCGAAGGCGAUCAGAUACCGCCCUAGUUCUAACCUUAAACGAUGCUGACUAGCGAUCCGCCGCAGUUAUUCCCAUGACCCGGCGGGUAGCUUCCGGGAAACCAAAGUCUUUGAGUUCCGGGGGAAGUAUGGUUGCAAAGCUGAAACUUAAAGGAAUUGACGGAAGGGCACCACCAGGAGUGGAGCCUGCGGCUCAAUUUGACUCAACACGGGGAAACUCACCAGGCCAGGACACCGGAAGGAUUGACAGAAUGAAGGCUCUUUCUCGAUUCGGUGGGUGGUGGUGCAUGGCCGUUCUUAGUUGGUGGAGUGAUCUGUCUGGUUAAUUCCGAUAACGAACGAGACUCUAGCCUGCUAAAUAGUCGACGGAUCUCACCCCGUUGCCCCCGUUGUCGUUCGCGCGAUGCGGGGCGCGGUUCCCCGAAACCCGGUCGUCGUGCGGGCCUCCACCGUCGGUCGGUUAGCGCCGCCGGCGGCGCGCCCCGCGGCGCCGGAAACUGGCGUCCGCUUCGCAGUCUUCUUCUUAGAGGGAUAAGCGGCAGCAAAAAAUAUACUAGCCGCACGAGAGUUUGAGCCAUAACAGGUCUGUGAUGCCCUUAGAUGUUCUGGGCCGCACGCGCGCUACAAUGGAGAGUUCAGCGAGCUGUCCCUGCUCCGAGAGGAGCGGGUAACCUCGUGAAAGCUGUCCUUAAAGGGGAUUGGGGCUUGCAAAUGUUCCCCAUGAACGAGGAAUUCCCAGUAGGCGCAAUUCACCAGAUUGCGCCGAUUUAGUCCCUGCCCUUUGUACACACCGCCCGUCGCUACUACCGAUUGAAUGGUCUAGUGAGGGCACCGGACUGGCGCCCUUGGAGCCGCUACCGCCUCGGCGGGCAGCGCCCUCGGGUCGACGGAAAGGUGUCCAAGCUGGGUCAUUUAGAGGAAGUAAAAGUCGUAACAAGGUUUCCGUAGGUGAACCUGCGGAAG